GAUGAACGCUGGCGGCGUGCCUAAUACAUGCAAGUCGAACGAAGCACUUCGGUGCUUAGUGGCGAACGGGUGAGUAACACGUAGGUAACCUACCCUAUAGUUUGGAAUAACAGUUGGAAACGACUGCUAAUACCAAAUGAGUAACAAGAAGACAUCUUCUAGUUAUAAAAGAUCCUCAUGGGAUCGCUAUGGGAGGGGCCUGCGGCGCAUUAGUUAGUUGGUGAGGUAAAGGCUCACCAAGACAGUGAUGCGUAGCCGGACUGAGAGGUUGAACGGCCACACUGGGACUGAGACACGGCCCAG
rnacentral:rRNA from 1 species